rnacentral:rRNA from 1 species
UCCCACCCGACAGUUAUAGGUGGCACCCCCUGCCCAAUGCUUAUAGUAAAUGGCUGCAGUACCCUGACUGUACAAAGGUAGCAUAAUGAUUUGGCUCUUUAUUAGAGUCUGGAAUGAAAGGGGCAAUAAGGCAUCACUAUUAAACCUGGGCUUAGAUGUUAACUUAAGGGGCUAAUUAAAACUUUAGACCUAGCCUGCAUGAAGAUAAGACCCUGUAGAGCUGCUCUAUCUUUCAAUUCUUGCUGAGUUUAGCAUCUAAUAAAUUGUUACACUAGCUUACUGGGGCGGUAAGUUAACUAAUCUGCUUGCUUUAAAGAACCCCUUAUCCUUAAGAUCUUUUAUCAGUGUACGCAUAGUUACCUCGGGGAUAACAGUGUAAUAAACUUAUAGAGCCCAAAUCGAAAAGUACGCUUACAACCUCGAUGUUGAAUUAAAGGUGCUGUUUAGCGUAGCUGUUAAAUAAGCUGGUUUGUUCAACCAUUGAACCUUU